AGAACUGACAUAAAAGAAAAUGAACUUUAGAAAAUAAAAAAUGAAGAACAAUUAUUCAACAGAAUUUUAUGCAGCGUUGGUCGUGUCAUAAUAAGCAAACCCAUAAAGAGUUAGUGUAAUUUGGAUUCUAAACUUUACAUUUUAUUAACCCAAUCAAACCAAGUACCGUUUAAAAGGGCCGAGAGGAGCUCUCUUCAGUUCAUUCCGAGACUGUUCGAGAGUCAAAACGCAGCUGCUGAUUCGUUAGCUCAAUGGCUCAUCAUCCACAAAAAUUCCCACCGCUAUAACGUCAAAGUUGUGUGAUGGGCUCCUGACCUAUCGAUGCAGGAGCAGUCUUUCGAUCGUCGCUGUCAUGGAUUUGAGCAGAAGCAGCUUUGAAUUCUGAAAAGCAAUUCCCCGAGGAGCGCAAGGAGGAGGUAGCUUUCUCAGUGUACAAAUUUAAAGCUUUGGGAGGUGUCUUGUGUUCUAACUUACAACUUUGGUUUUUCCUCUACGGUAUUAUUCUAUUUGCGUCUCAUUUAUCAUUAAUUUAAUUUAUUUCUUUUCCUC